AGAGGGCGAGAGACAGACAAAGAGAGAGUUUCUGUCUACUUGUGCUCUCCUCAAAUGCCUGCAACAGCCAGAAGGCCAAAGCUGGGAGCCGGGAACUCAAGCCAGGGCUUUCACAAAUUCCUUGCAACUGCUUGUUGGGGUCUGCAUCAGCUGGGAGCUGCAGUCAGGAGUGGAGCAGCGAGUCAAACCCAGGCACUCCAGUGUGGGAUGUGGGUACCCUAGCCAGCAUCUGAACCAUUAGGCCAAGCACCUGCCCCAAAUGGAAUAUCGUAGUCUUCAUAGCAGUUCUUACAGAAAACAGCUUCUCCAGUGACAUCUGUGGAACAAAACAGACUCACAAUGGUAAGAUUUUUUUUUUCAUAUAUUUCAAAAGGAAUUAACCAUCCCCAUUUCAAUAAUUUAUGCAAGUACUUCAUUGUGCAAACUUUCAAUUGCGUAUCAGAGUGGCCAGCUAUUUGUAACAGUUAAGAUGCUUGAUUGGAAAUAACAGGGAUCAACUCCAAGGGAUUAAGCAAAAAA